rnacentral:tRNA from 1 species
GGUCGAUUAGCUUAGUUGGUAGAGCGUGGUACUAAUAUUUCAGUUAUCAAUGCCAAGGCCGGGGGUUUGAGCUCCCCAUGGACCA